rnacentral:rRNA from 6 species
CACAUGACUCUCGGCAACGGAUAUCUUGGCUCUUGCAUCGAUGAAGAACGUAGCAAAAUGCGAUACCUGGUGUGAAUUGCAGAAUCCCGUGAACCAUCGAGUUUUUGAACGCAAGUUGCGCCUAAGGCCUUUUGGCCAAGGGCACGUCUGCCUGGGCGUCACGC